UCCCUGUGAUGUCCUGAACGGGGGCUGGGAAGGCAUGCAGUCACCCACCACAGAGCACUUCCACCACGUACACAGAAGACAUGUCAACAGCCUGAAGAGCAGGAGUAACUGCAAGAUAGCACAAAAGAGAGAUGAGGAAACAGACACAGAGAAGGGAAGCAUGUUACCUGAGAUAACACAGUUGGCAUGAACUAUGGAACCAUAAUUCCAACCCAGGAAUUCUUCUUGUAACGACAUCACUCUACUACCUCUUAAUAAGUUUGCUUAUGUUAGCACAUUUCCAAAGAAGACUAAUGGAAUCAUCAUUUCUACAAACUCCACUGUGUCUCUUCUAUGCAAUUCUGAAAAAUAAAAUUAGAGACAUUGGAAAACAGAGAUAUUCUCAAAGCAAUAGCAUGGGUGUGUUAUCAUGCCAGCGAUGUUUGUAUGGACAAAAAUGACCAUCCAAGAAGAAAGUCAGAAUCCCCCAUCUCAGACCAGCAGGGUCUCGUCUGCAGCACCAUGGGAGCUUCUUCAUGCUGUGACAGGCUCCAAGAAACCAAGCCACAGCUCCCAUGCCCAGAGGUGGUCAUGACUCAAGUGAACUUCGCCUCCUGGGUAUCAAGGACAGUACUGGACACCAUCACCACAUUGAACCAUACCGGCCCUCUGUCCAACUGCACAUCCCCUGCCCUGAGAACCCAAUCAGAUUCCACCUGAUCUCCCUGUGGACUGCAGUGAUCCAUCACCUCAUCAGGACACACAGACAGAUGCACAGGUGCGCGGGCACAGCAGAAUCACAAGAAGGAUCCCACUGGCUAACUGGACCUGAACUCAAAACCCAGCCUGAGAGCCAUUUGCUGACUGAAGGGCCGCACCUGGGGCCUCUCCAUUCCUGAAAGGACACAUAGUGGGCUUCACCUGGAUACUGUGUCACUGCCCCAGAUGCCAAAAUGAAUGGUCCCAGAAGUUCUCAGGUUUUUAUUGUUUUCUUUUUGCUGCUUGGACAAACAAUGAGCUAGAAGCCCUCCCCUUUUAUCUUGAAUUCUCCCCUCCUGAACUUCUGCUACCACAGUGAUAGUUUCACCACUUUGCUAGUCAGCUCACCACUCCUGGACACUGAAUUCAAUCUGACUUUACCAGGCUCUCAGGCCUGCCCCAGGAUUUGGAUGUUAACCUAACAUGACUUACAAGUCUGAGUCCUGCAGGCAGACCUGCUCUGUCUUCAGGCACCAAGUUGCCCUGCAGGACUCCGAGCAGUGGUUCCACUGCCUGAUCACGUGUGUCUUGAACACACCAAGGAAUGGAACAUUACAAAGAAGACUCAAGCCUCAGCCAGAGUUCCAGGGCCUCACAGGGCUGUUUCCACUGAGAUACGAGUCCAGUGACUACCAGCUCCCAGAUCACAUGGCAAAAUAAAUUCCUUCUCCAGAGAAGAUGACCAUUAAGUCAGCUCUUCAUUAUUGAAGAUUAAAGGUUCUAAUGGACAAGAAAGAUGCACAGUAUAAAGGGACAACUGAAAUAAGACCCUUACCAUCGAUCACAAAAUGAUACGUGCAAUGCC